ACUCCAACCUAUCUAAUCUGCCUUCCCCAACCUCUGCUGUUCUUCCGUUCUUCCCGGUCCUCUUCCGAUGCCCCGUCGAGUGCUGGUGUGUGACACAGCCCUUCAAGCCUCCAACGGACACCGCUCCCCCUCCUCCGCGCCUCGUCGGCCACCGCCGCACCGGUCGCACCUUCCUCCGCUGCCCCAUCGCACCCAGGCGGCUGCGCUGGCUACGGAUCGCGAGCGGCCCGCGCCCCAAAUCCAUUUGGCGCGCCUGGUCCCCUCACCGCUCUUCUCGCUAUCCGCCGCAGUGGCAGCCGCCUGUUCGAGCGGUAGGUCGCCUCGUGCACCGCGCGGUGGGUGGUGGUGCGAGGACAGAGGCGGAGGGGGGGAUUGAGGGACUCGGGGUGCAGCAGACAUAGGGGUCGGGGCUGAACAUGGUCAGCGCGGCGCUCGGCUUCGGCACGACCGCUGCUUUCGUCGCGUUUGUCUGCGCGCAGUUCAUCUGCUGCUGCACCCGCCGCGAGCCGCUUCUGUCGUCGUCACCGUCGGACUUCCCCGUGGAUCUCGACCGCCUGGGAGUUCAUCUGUUAGCGGCGAAGAUCGUAGAGCAACGUUGGUCGAAGGGUGUAGGCGCGCUCGCAUCUUCGACUUCCCAUACAGGCGAAGACGAAGGAGACCUUCGACUGAAGAGCGAAGCCCGGGUCCGCAGUCUGCAUCGUUCACAGCGGGCGAAGACGCAAGCUGACCCUCGCCGGGGGACGAAGGCUAUCCAACGGGCAUCCGGGCGAAGGAGGCUUCGACGCCUUUUGGAGAGAUGAAUCACCUCGACACAGUGGGUCCGAUUUCGGUCGCUCAGGGUACUGCUGUAAUUAUGCGAUUAUGUUUAUUUUUACCAUAAUGCCCCCGGAUAUUCCGGGAAUGUAGCAGUUAAGGGGGUAGGAUUUGUAAACGGCACCUGUGGUUGCCGGGUACGGACUAUAAAUAGAGCCACAGUGUAACCGGAAGGGGUAUCAAAGAACUGUUCCGCCUCCAACACGUGUCGCUCUGAGUGCCCUCCGAUAUCUCCGUAUCCGAAGGCUCUCCUUGUCUGGGAACCCAGUCCCAACAGUUGGCGUCGUCCGCGGGAUCGAACCCACGAAGACAUGCCACUCAAGAAGAAAUCAAAGCCAGCCGGAACAGUGGAGGCAUUGCCGAAACCUCCAGUCGUGGCUGGGCCUUCGGCUGAUAGACCCCCUUCGGCCAUACCAGGAUCAAGUAAUGCUUCGACCGGACGAGAACGACACUGCGAAGUUGAAAUAGGACCACAAGAACCCAGUGAUGGCCGCCAGGGCGAAGCAGUCCGAGUUAGCGCGGAGCAAAUGCGGGUCAUGGAACCAAUAGAUCACAUGCACUUCGAUCCUCCAGAAAAGGAAGGCAAAAGGGUGCGAAAUGAAGAAUGGGAGGAACUCGACGACUUCACAGAGUUUGAGCACGGAAGAAACAAAUGAAGAAAGAACAGCAAGGCUAGAAGCCGAAGAGUUGGAAAGGCAGCUAGCGCAGAAGAAGCGCAUGUUGGAUGGCCUAGCAGUGAGUCGGAAAGCCGCAGAGUACCGCAGGCGGGCGGAUGAAGCAAGAAAAAAUUGGAAAAAAUCCAGGAAGAAAUCGAUAUGCUCCACCAAGCGGAGGGUAUAUCUCGCCGGCCAACGCCGUCGGGAGACUUGAUACGAGCUUUGCAGGAAAUUCAGCGAAGGUCGUCCACGGGAGACCCGGAGUCCCCUUUGGCCAUGGAUAUGCAAAAUCAGCCAUGGCCGCCAGGAUUCAAGAUGUCCAGAGUGGUUAUGUUUGAUGGAGAGUCAGACCCAAGAGAAUUUGUCAUAAGUUUUGAAGCAGCUGUGGAGUCUGCCGGAGGGGAUGGUACAACCUUGGCGAAGGCCUUCGUAUUGGCCAUAAAGGGGAUAGCAACGUCCUGGUACUCUGCGUUGCCCCCAUGAUCCAUAUAUUCAUGGGAGCAGUUGCGCAGUGCACUAUACAACUUCCAGGGGAAUCAGGCAGACAAAAUCACCGCAACCGACCUCUUCGCCCUGAAAUAGCAACCAACAGAAACCUUGCAGAGCUACAUGCGCCGCUUCUGUAAACAUAUGUUGUCAGGUGAAGGGGUUGAGCGAAGAUACAAUCAUCGAUGCCGUAAUACAGGGCAUCAGAGGCGGGCUAUUAGCAGGAAAGCUCACGAGAAAAAGACCCGGAAGCGUCCAAGAGCUGCUCAACAAGAUGGAAGAGUACUCAAGAUCUGAGCUCGAUCAUCUCCGAAGGAAAAACGAAAUGACAGCUACCAAAGUAAAACAACAUGCACCAGCUAGAGAGGCAGGCAGCAGCAAUCCUAGAGACAGACUGCACCGUCCAAGAAAGCCCGAAGGCUCUGACUAUCCAAGGCAAAAAGAAGUCAACCAGAUCAAUCCCAGCCCGCUCGAAGCCGUUCAAGGAUCAUGCAAAGCUUACAAUGUAGCCAAUAGGGGAGGCCGAGCGGGCAGGGGAAGAGGCCGCGGAGGCCGAGGAGGACAGGUUCUGCAGGACUCAGCAACAUUUUACUGCGAGCUGCAUGGCGAAGGAGCCGGUCACCGGACCAAACAGUGUCCGCAGGUCGUGGCUAUGAAAGAAAGCUUGGCGAAGCAGUUUGUUGAUCACGCAAGGACAGUGGACCAUGCAACAAGCUUCGGAAGAAGCGAAGGGUGGCAGAACCACAGUCAGAACAUGGCGUUUCCGAACCAAUAGCAAGACAAAUUCCAGCACCACAGUAUGCACCUGCAACUUCAGCUCAGUUUGAUCAAACUAGUCAAAUGAACCUUCAGGGGGAGCUACCUCUGCCACCACCGAGACCCGCAAUCGAAGCACCACCAGAAAGUAGCAAGUCAGUCAACACGAUAAAUCGUGGGUACAACGUGGUGUUGGCCAUCUCAGGGGGAUCUAACCAGCAGACAUAAUCUAAGAGACAAUGAAAAGAAUAUGUGCGAAGAGUCAACCACGUCGGAGUGGGACCAACGUACAUCAAUUCAAGAUGGUCAAACAUUCCCAUUACAUUCUCGCAAGAGGAUAUGAGGGUCCUAGACUAUCCACACACAGAUGCAUUCGUCAUUACUGCAAACAUCUCGGGAAAUGAAGUACACAGGAUCUUGAUCGAUGGAGGAAGCUCGGCGGACAUUAUCUUUGCUGACGCCUUCGACAAAAUGGGGCUGCGACGAAGUGACUUAAAGCAAGCCGGAUCGCCAUUGCUAGGCUUCGGCGGAAACACAAUCAACGCUCUGAAAAAAUAGCAAUCCCAGUGUCGUUUGGUGAAGAAAUGAAUUUCCGCACAUAAGACAUUACCUUCGAUGUAGUGGACAUUGAUUACCCGUACAAUGCGAUAUUUGGAAGGGGAGUCCUCAAUACAUUCGGAGCAAUACCGCACCAUGCAUACUUGUGCAUGAAGAUGCCUAGCCCGAAAUGAGUCAUAAAGGUGUUGGAAGAUCAGCGAGUGGCUAGACGAAUCGAAGUGGGAAUAGCUCCAGGAAGAAGAAAUGUUCACAUGAUAACAGACCCUUCGAUGGGUCGGGAAGAAAGUUGCAACCAGUCGAAAAUAGGAAAGGCAGCGAAGGCUGCACCAGAAGGAGCGGCCAGAAUAGUACACCUGCAUCAGGAAAAAGAAGAUAAAAAAGUCACUAUAGGAGCGGAGGCUCUGGCAGAAGAUCAGCAACAACUUGUAAUGUUCCUCUGCGACAACGACGAUGUCUUCGCUUGGUCUCCUAGAGACAUGCAAGAAGUAAGUCGGAAAAUCAUUCAGCACAACCUAAAUGUGGACCCCAAAGCGAAGCCAAGGAAGCAAAAGCUUAUAAAAGCUUCAGGCGAAAGAGAAGAAGCAGUGAAGGCUGAAGUGGAAAAACUGCUCGAUGCCGGAGUCAUACGCGAAGUAAUGCACUCAGAGUGGCUGGCCAACCCAGUCUUAGUAAAGAAAAGCAAUGGAAAAUGGAGAAUGUGCAUCGACUUCACAGACUUAAAUAAAGCUUGUCCCAAGGAUGACUUCCCACUGCUUAGAAUUGACCAGCUGGUAGACUCUGUGGCUGGUCGCAAGAUGCUAAGCUUCCUAGAUGCUUAUGCAGGGUACUAUCAGAUAUGGAUGGCGAAGGAAGACGAGGACAAAACAAGUUUCAGGACCUCCUUCGGCACAUACUGCUUCAUAAGGAUGCCUUUCGGACUCCGAAACGCUGGCGCAACCUUCACCAGGUUGGUGCAGGCAGUAUUAAAACCACAGCUGGGACGAAAUGUCUUGGCCUAUGUUGAUGACAUAGUGGUCAAAAGUACCAGAAGGAGCCAACACCUCGAAGACCUUCGGGAAACCUUCGACAAUCUGCGAAGAGCAGGCAGUUAAACCCAGAAAAAUGCGUCUUCGGAGUACAAUCCGGAAGACUACUAGGGUUUUUGGUGUCGAAGAGAGGCAUCGAAGUGGAUCCUCAGAAGAUACAAGCAGUUUUAGAUAUGAAACCCCCACAGAACAGAAAGCAAGCUCAACGCUUGGCAGGAAGGUUAGCGGCACUGAACAGGUUCAUUGCAAAAUCUGCAGAGCAAAGUUUACCAUUCUUCAAAGUGUUAAAAAGCUCUGACCCUUUCAAAUGGGAUGCAGAGCAGCAAGCAGCCUUCGAUGAGUUAAAAAGCUACUUGACGAAGCUUACAGCACUAACUAGCCCGGAUCCAGGCGCGGAUUUGCUGUUAUACAUAGCAGCAUCCCCUUUGGCAGUCAGCGCUGUACUCGUGUAGGAAAAACCCGAAGACAACAGACUGCGCCAAGCACCAGUAUAUUAUGUAUCAGAAGCUCUAGCAGGCUCCAAAAAGUCAUACACAAAGUUGGAAAAAGUAGCGUAUGCACUGAUAAUGGCAUCCCGCAAGCUUCGCCACUACUUCACGUCUCACAAGAUUACAGUACCAACUUUCUUACCCCUUGGCGACAUGUUUGAAAAGAAAGAAGCCAUUGGAAGAAUAGCGAAGUGGGCAACGGAGAUCGCUCCAUUCAUGAUCGUUUUUGUGGCAAGAACAUCAUUAAAAUUGCAAGCACUGGCAGACUUCGUGGCGGAAUGGACACCCUUAAUCGAAGCCUCGGAUGAUGAACCGCCAGAACCUGUUUGGACCGCAUAUUGCGACAGAGUUUGGGGAGCUACGGGAGCAGGAGUCUCGGCAAUAUUAUUUUCACCUUCGGGGACGAAGCUAAGAUACGCCGCCAGAUUAGAGUUCCGCUCUAUAAACAAUACGGCGGAGUACGAAGCAGUCUUCCUGGUACUUUGCAAGGCGAAGGCUUUGGGCGCCCGGAGAGUGCUUGUUAAGACAGACUCGAAGGUCGUAGCAAGUCAAAUUGACAAGACAUUCCAGGCAAAGGAACCAGAGCUGAUUAAGUAUAGAUUAGCGGUGCGAAGAAUGGAAAAAUACUUCCUCGGAUUCAUAGUCAAGAAUAUAUUAAGAAAUGAUAACUCCGAAGCAGAUGAACAAGCGAAAGCGGCUUCGUAGAACCUGCCUAUGCAUUCAGAUGUUUUCUAUCAGAAGCUGAGUGAACCAGCCCUUGAAGACACUUUGAACCAAACGCGUCUUGUUGCAACAGUCGAAAGCGAAGACUGGCGUUCUCCAAUACUGGCUUAUCUUCACGGUCAGAGAGACAUUGAAGAUGAGGUCGGAGCAAAGCGCAUGGCCCAAAGGGCCAGAAAUUACAAAGUUAUGAAAAAUAAUUUGUACAAAGCCGGGGUCUGUGCACCGCUCUUGCGAUGCAUAUCCCGGAAAGAAGGACAGAACCUGUUAAAACAAAUUCACAGCGGGUUGUGCGGUUCUCACAUCGGCACAAGAGCUCUAGUUGGAAAAGCAUACAUGCAAGGCUUCUAUUGGCCGACGGCUGUAAACGAUGCGGAUCAAAUGGUCCGAAGUUGUCAGUAGUGUCAAUUAUGGGCGAAGGGGUUAAACAGACCCACGACGAAGACACAACUCAUUCCGCCGAUUUGGCCACUAAGGCAGUGGGGAAUCGACAUUAUUGGGCAGCUGCCGCCAGCUCCAGGAAAUUUGCGAUAUGCUGUGGUUGCAGUAGAGUACUUCUCAAAAUGGGUGGAGGCAAUGCCACUCGUGAGCAUAACAUCAAGAAACAUACAUAAAUUUCUAUGGCAGAAUAUCGUAUGCCGCUUCGGAGUCCCAAGCGAAGUAACCGUGGAUAAUGGCACUCAAUUCGAUACUGCAGGUUUCAGGGAUUUCUGCAACAGUCUGGGGAUAAAAGUAAUUUUUGCAUCCGUGUACCACCCACAAUCUAAUGGGGCAGUUGAGAGAGCGAAUGGCAUCAUCUUCGCUGGUGUCGCGAAGCGUCUUCAAGGGUUGCCAAAAGGGAAGUGGGUCGACGAAUUGCCCAAGGUACUAUGGUCAUUAAGAACAACGGUUGCAAGACCAACUGGGUACACGCCAUUUCGCCUCCUCUUCGGCGAAGAGGCCAUGACCCUAGAGGAAUGCAAAACCAAAUCAUUCAGGGUCGGGAACGAACCAGAGCAAUGCGAAGAAUUAUCAUCGAAGGAUGCCCUUGAAGAAGUAAGAUUGCAAGCCGCAGAAAAUCUGGCCAAUUAUCAGCAGGAGACAAGAAUACGGAGAGAUAGGAAUAUAUCCGAAAAAACCUUCGCACCUGGAGAUUUGGUGCUGCGAAGAUUCGGUACAACAACAUUAGUGGGAAAACUUCAGAGUAAAUGGGAUGGCCCUUUCUUAGUAAAAAGAUCGUUAAGACCUGGCUCAUAUCAUCUAGCUAAUAUGGAAGGUGAGGAGCUUCCGCACACCUGGAAAGCAGACAACCUUCGCAAGUUCUACGCCUGAAAUCCGGCGACCAAGUCCAAGACUCCUAUGUAAUUUUUAUUUCGCAAUAUUUCUUGUAAUCAAAUUGUAAGGGUACUGCACUCUUUUCCUCACAGGGGACCCCUUCGUUAGGGGGUGAGGUUUUUAACGAGGCAAGAACCCAUGUAAACAUUGAUAUAGUGGUACCCCAGAAAAUACUGCUUGUCUCGAGUACUAGUAAUUUAUCGUCGAAGCACGCCAACCCAGGGGUGGAUUGGCGUGCCAAUCGACGACGCGAGGGCGGUGCGAAGUGUAAGCAAAAAGACGUACACUUUCGACCUUUUAAAAGAAAAAUAUAUAUAUAAACAAAAAAAGAGAGAAACCAUCCGGGGGCUAAAAGUGCCUGCCCCCGCACCGAAGGAAAGACAAACCUUCGGGAGAAAAAACAAAGUGUCGCUUGACCUACGAAAUGGCGGCGCACUUCGAGCAAAAGUCAGGGGCUAAGAGUGCCUACCCCCGCACCGGAGGAAAAACAAACCUUCAGGAGAAAAAACGAAGUGUCGCUUGACCUACGAAAUGGCGGCGCACUUCAGGCGGAAAUCGGGGGCUAAAAACGCUCGCCACCGCACCGAAAGAAAAACAAACCUUUGGGAGAAAAAACAAAGUGUCGCUUGACCUACGAAAUGGCGGCGCACUUCGAGCAAAAGUCGAGGGCUAAGAGUGCUUGCCCCCGCACCGAAGGAAGAACAAACUUUCGGGAGAAAAAACGAAGUGUUGCUUGACCUAUGAAAUGGCGGCGCACUUCGAGCAAAAGUCGGGAGCUAAGAGUGCCUGCCCCCGCACCGAAGGAAAAACAAACCUUCGGGAGAAAAAAAAACGAAGUGU